rnacentral:tRNA from 1 species
AUCAAUAUGGCAGAUUAAGUGCGUUGGAUUUAAGCUUCAUUAAUGAAUUUUUCUAUUGAUA